AAGCCUUUCUUGAAGGAGUCCCUAAGGAGGUUGAGGCGAGAAUAGAGGUCAAGAAAACAAAAGAAAAGCUGAAAAGAGAAGGAAAUGAUAAUAAAUAAGAGGUUAUUUGUACUGAUCCAACAACAAGCAUGAGUGUUUGGAAUGAAGUAUCAAUGUCAACCGAGAAACCAACAAGAAUUCAACCCUUAUUUAAAUCUACACAAUCAAGAUUGGAGGGCUCAUUCAAAUUUCUUUUGGCGAGAGCAUCGACCUUAAUGUAUCCAUCCACAUGAGCAUGUAUUCCCAUUAGAAUUCUCGAUACAGCCUCAGGAAGAGUACAAUCAACCAUGGGUGCAAGAGCAAAAUACCAUCUACGAAAAUUUCUAGCCUUCAAGAGAAGAUGAUAGUGACGGGAUGUGAAUCCCGGAGCGGAAGCGGAUCAUCGUUCAUGAUUUUUGAGAAACAAAAUCAAACAUCUAAUAACGAAAAUACAAGGGAAAGAACUUUUCUUACCUUUGAAGAACUCUUCUUCAAGUUAAUUUCCACCCGAACACCACCACCGAAUCUUCUGAGCUAUCCUUUUGGGUCUCAAGAACACGCUUGUUGGAGCGUUUCUUUGGAACGAGAGGGACAAUUGAGAGAGUGUGAGAUGGAGAGAGUAUGCUGGGUUUUUCUUGUAGAGGAAGAAAGAAAUGUACAAAACUAUUCUAUACAGUUUAAGCAAAUGUGACGUGGGGUAACUUCCCACCAACUUCCCACUCCCCUACAAUUUUGCAGGGGAGUUUUUAAUUAA